AUUGAACGCUGGCGGCAGGCCUAACACAUGCAAGUCGAGCGAGCGGCGGACGGGUGAGUAAUGCCUGGGAAUUGCACAGUCGAGGGGGAUAACAGUUGGAAACGACUGCUAAUAACGCAUACGAUUGAAUUGACAAGGUGGGAUUAGCUAGUUGGUGAGGUAAUGGCUCACCAAGGCGACGAUCCCGAGCUGGUCUGAGAGGAUGGUCAGUCACACUGGAACUGAGACAAGGUCCAGACUCCGACGCGAGGCAGCAGUGGGGAAUAUUGCACAAUGGGGGAAACCCUGAUGCAUCCAUGCCGCGUGUGUGAAGAAGGCCUUCGGGUUGUAAAGCACUUUCAGCGAGGAGGCGUUACUCGCAGAAGAAGCACCGGCUAAAUCCGUGCCAGCAGCCGCGGUAAUAC
rnacentral:rRNA from 1 species